rnacentral:rRNA from 1 species
CCUACGGGAGGCAGCAGUGGGGAAUAUUGCACAAUGGGGGGAACCCUGAUGCAGCGACGCCGCGUGGGUGAAGGAGUAUUUCGGUAUGUAAAGCCCUAUCAGCAGGGAAGAACAAUGACGGUACCUGACUAAGAAGCACCGGCUAAAUACGUGCCAGCAGCCGCGGUAAUACGUAUGGUGCAAGCGUUAUCCGGAUUUACUGGGUGUAAAGGGAGCGCAGGCGGCGCGUUAAGCCUGGUGUGAAAGCCCGCGGCCCAACCGCGGGACUGCAUUGGGAACUGGCGCGCUGGAGUGCCGGAGGGGUAGGCGGAAUUCCUAGUGUAGCGGUGAAAUGCGUAGAUAUUAGGAGGAACACCAGUGGCGAAGGCGGCCUACUGGACGGUGACUGACGCUGAGGCUCGAAAGCGUGGGGAGCAAACAGGAUUAGAUACCCUAGU